UGAAAGAUGCGAGCCAUAGCAUCUCGUAACAUGAAGGCCAUCCAGCUCCAUCCUCCCACUGCUGCUUGAACAAUAUGCUUAACACGUAGUGCCGCAGUCGCUGCUUGGGUUGAAUGUGUUCAUGCACAGAUUUUAUCAUCUUGUUACUCAAACGACUGAUGGCUUCUGACCCUGCCUGAAAAUUUCCUAAGAGGUAACAGUUCUAGGACACAGGUGCUGGAGGGAGUGGAGGAAGAAGUUUAAUUACCACAUACAGCUCUUCCAUAUGCAAGGUCUCUGGGGCAAAACUGUCAUUCUGUCUGAAGCCAGACCCUCAAUGUCAGACUAAGAGAGUCGGAUGGAGACUACAUCUUCUGUGUGUGUUGCAAUGGGAGGACUUCUCUCCACCGAGUUUAGUGAGGGAAGGAUCCAAAUCAUAGGUUAAAGGGAAUUCUGGAUGGAAUAUAUACAGGAUGAUGAAUCCAUAUCUAACCAAUACCUAUUCUGCAAGCCCCAACAUGGCCAAAACUUCAAUACUUGGUGGACAUUGAUGGCCCACAGA
rnacentral:lncRNA from 1 species